rnacentral:tRNA from 1 species
GCCGGGGUUCCCGAGCGGCCAAAGGGAGCAGACUGUAAAUCUGCCGUCAUCGACUUCGAAGGUUCGAAUCCUUCCCCCACCACCA